CUUUGUGUUCCCGGAAAAGGGUAAAAUAAAGCGGGAAGGGAAACGGUGCAAUUCCGGUCUGCCCAGGUGUGUUUAUAAGAGGACAUGCUCCCCCUGGAAGGAAAGAUGGAAAAGGACCACCUACCCAGUAAGACUCACUGUGAAAAUCUCAAGUGUUGACACAGCUUCAAGCUCAGUGCACGUGAAGAGACAGUCAACUGACAAGAAAGGGCAAAAGGCCAAAUGAUGAGAGAAAAACAGUUUCCAAAUUCCAAGAAAAAGGAGAUUGCAUUUGAGAGAAAUAUCAAGAGU